CACUCGAUGGUACAUGGUGUACACCUGCUUCAAUUGCAUAAGAAUACGAGAUGAGCAGGAGGCCCCGGUUCGAUUCCGGGUCGGGUGA